GAUGAACGCUGGCGGCGUGCCUAAUACAUGCAAGUCGAGCGAACAGACGAGGAGCUUGCUCCUCUGACGUUAGCGGCGGACGGGUGAGUAACACGUGGAUAACCUACCUAUAAGACUGGGAUAACUUCGGGAAACCGGAGCUAAUACCGGAUAAUAUAUUGAACCGCAUGGUUCAAUAGUGACAGACGGUUUUGCUGUCACUUAUAGAUGGAUCCGCGCCGCAUUAGCUAGUUGGUAAGGUAACGGCUUACCAAGGCGACGAUGCGUAGCCGACCUGAGAGGGUGAUCGGCCACACUGGAACUGAGACACGGUCCAGACUCCUACGGGAGGCAGCAGUAGGGAAUCUUCCGCAAUGGGCGAAAGCCUGACGGAGCAACGCCGCGUGAGUGAUGAAGGUCUUCGGAUCGUAAAACUCUGUUAUUAGGGAAGAACAAAUGUGUAAGUAACUAUGCACGUCUUGACGGUACCUAAUCAGAAAGCCACGGCUAACUACGUG
rnacentral:rRNA from 1 species